UUUAUGGAGAGUUUGAUCCUGGCUCAGAGUGAACGCUGGCGGCGUGCCUAAUACAUGCAAGUCGAACGAUGAAGCUUCUAGCUUGCUAGAGUGCUGAUUAGUGGCGCACGGGUGAGUAACGCAUAGGUCAUGUGCCUCUUAGUUUGGGAUAGCCAUUGGAAACGAUGAUUAAUACCAGAUACUCCCUACGGGGGAAAGAUUUAUCGCUAAGAGAUCAGCCUAUGUCCUAUCAGCUUGUUGGUAAGGUAAUGGCUUACCAAGGCUAUGACGGGUAUCCGGCCUGAGAGGGUGAACGGACACACUGGAACUGAGACACGGUCCAGACUCCUACGGGAGGCAGCAGUAGGGAAUAUUGCUCAAUGGGGGAAACCCUGAAGCAGCAACGCCGCGUGGAGGAUGAAGGUUUUAGGAUUGUAAACUCCUUUUGUUAGAGAAGAUAAUGACGGUAUCUAACGAAUAAGCACCGGCUAACUCCGUGCCAGCAGCCGCGGUAAUACGGAGGGUGCAAGCGUUACUCGGAAUCACUGGGCGUAAAGAGCGCGUAGGCGGGAUAGUCAGUCAGGUGUGAAAUCCUAUGGCUUAACCAUAGAACUGCAUUUGAAACUACUAUUCUAGAGUGUGGGAGAGGUAGGUGGAAUUCUUGGUGUAGGGGUAAAAUCCGUAGAGAUCAAGAGGAAUACUCAUUGCGAAGGCGACCUGCUGGAACAUUACUGACGCUGAUUGCGCGAAAGCGUGGGGAGCAAACAGGAUUAGAUACCCUGGUAGUCCACGCCCUAAACGAUGGAUGCUAGUUGUUGGAGGGCUUAGUCUCUCCAGUAAUGCAGCUAACGCAUUAAGCAUCCCGCCUGGGGAGUACGGUCGCAAGAUUAAAACUCAAAGGAAUAGACGGGGACCCGCACAAGCGGUGGAGCAUGUGGUUUAAUUCGAAGAUACACGAAGAACCUUACCUAGGCUUGACAUUGAGAGAAUCCGCUAGAAAUAGUGGAGUGUCUAGCUUGCUAGACCUUGAAAACAGGUGCUGCACGGCUGUCGUCAGCUCGUGUCGUGAGAUGUUGGGUUAAGUCCCGCAACGAGCGCAACCCCCUUUCUUAGUUGCUAACAGGUCAUGCUGAGAACUCUAAGGAUACUGCCUCCGUAAGGAGGAGGAAGGUGGGGACGACGUCAAGUCAUCAUGGCCCUUACGCCUAGGGCUACACACGUGCUACAAUGGGGUGCACAAAGAGAAGCAAUACUGCGAAGUGGAGCCAAUCUUCAAAACACCUCUCAGUUCGGAUUGUAGGCUGCAACUCGCCUGCAUGAAGCUGGAAUCGCUAGUAAUCGCAAAUCAGCCAUGUUGCGGUGAAUACGUUCCCGGGUCUUGUACUCACCGCCCGUCACACCAUGGGAGUUGUGUUUGCCUUAAGUCAGGAUGCUAAAUUGGCUACUGCCCACGGCACACACAGCGACUGGGGUGAAGUCGUAACAAGGUAACCGUAGGUGAACCUGCGGUUGGAUCACCUCCUUUCUAGA
rnacentral:rRNA from 1 species